GGACACAUUUGCCCAUGAUCAUCUCCGUCAUUAAACAAAUGCUGACGACUAAGAUUAAAACAAUUCGGUUUAUUCUCAGAAUAGCUACAUCAGUUCGGUAUGCAGGGCGUGAAUGGCAAACACUUGUCCUGAAACAUUGUGCCUGCGAAAAUGCAUAGCUAUACAUUAGUUCAGAAUCGUGCGUUACAUGAUUGGUGUAAAAUGUUGUAAACAUGACCUUUUAGAUUAGAAUAACCAUUCCAUUUAUAGCAUACAGUUUCCAGUGGCCCAGACAUUAUUUUCACUCGAAUAGUAUUUCAACCUCCACAUAGAGGCGAUAUUCCGCGUUUGAGGAUGUUGGACGACACGCACAGAAGAAGAACCUACUGUCUUUAGCGACAACCUUGGCGGCGCCCGCAAUGUUGACUUUACAGUCAUUAAUUCAUUUUAAAAAAUGACUUGUGUUUAGAAGCGACCAUAUCGUUAAUACUAAGACCGAAUUUCAAUAACCUGCAUGGAUCUGUGCUAAACUACUUCAAUAAGUGUAUAAUGUUAUUUGAAGGAUUAUUUCUCGCUGACGAAAGGUGAGGUCCAUAAGGUUUCGAAAGCCGCGUCGCAAGCGAUAGCUUGUGGGCGAAGGUAAUGGCUGGGACUGUAGGGAGAAGGCAGAAUGCCGCCCAGGGGUUUCGAGAGCUAGCUAUUAUCAUAUGUCAAACAUUGACGUCAAGCUGGGUUUUGGCUAACUGUUUUUGGGGCAUGGAAUUAGACCUACAUUUGAGUGCGAAUAGUUUCCUAAUUAAAGUUUACCCCAGACCUGCUUCCCUAUUCAGGAGACAGUAUGAGAACAACAUCUUAACAGGAGCCAAGUUUCCUGACCCAGGCUGUUAUGGCCACACCCAGUUCCACCUGGUCCCUGAUAGGUAUCGCAGGGACAAAAUGGCUUAACUGAAUCUGACUGACCAGAUUGAGUUCUACCUGAGAGCUCAUGGCAUUGCCAGUCUAUUCACAAGCCUUGUAUCAUGGUUUCUGGAACCAUGAGGAUGUGGCCAGGUCCUUUGUGUCCCACUAUUGGCCAGUACUUCUCUUUCUUCUGUUACCAGCUCAACUCCCUGGCCCUGUCCAUGAGACGGAUGCUGUGAACCCGAGGAAGAACUUGUGCUGGGGGACAGACAGUAUUCAUCUGUAUGAAAUGAAGCAUGGUGUUGUGGUUGGGCUGGAUUACAGGGUCCUCAAGCUCCUGGUCUGGUUCCUACUGGGCAGGUCAGGUGGACAUGGAGAGAUGGUGUAUGCAGGGUGAAAUAAGUGUUUUUGUUGAAUUGUUUCCAUUUGGAUUCAACAGUGGCAAAUGUCAAUUCAUGUACACUGACCAUGUGCAGUGUAUAUGUAUGUACGGUGUGUGUAUCUCUGGUAUGAUCUGGCAGAAUGUAUUCAUGUGGAAAGUAAAAACAGUUGCAUACAGGGUUGAUUGGUGUCCACAACACUAAGGACCUAUCAUGGUUCAAACACACCAACAUAGUUGUGAAGUGGCCACAACAAUGCCUCUUCCCCCUCAGGAGGCUGAAAAGAUUUGGCAUGGGCCCCUCAGUUAUUCAAAAAGUUAUACAGUGGCACCAUUGUGAGCAUCUUGACUGGCUGCAUCACGUUUUGGUAUGGCAACUGCUCGGCAUCUAACCGCAAGGCACUGUGGAGGGUAGUGCGUGCCUACGGCCCAGUACAUCACGGGUUGAGCUCCCUGCCAUCCAGGACCUCCAUACCAGGCUGUUUCAAUGGGGAAAGAUUGGCUCGUACCCCGCUUCAGUGAUUGUUGAAAACCCUGCUUCCGGUGUUCUGCUGUUUGUCACUAGGUGUCGCUUAGUCAAUGUGGACAAACGUCACAACCACAGAUGGAACAAGGAGACUGAUGUUUCACCGGAUGUAUAAAUCUGAAGGAUCCGGUUGGAAUUUCCACCCCUCACCAAAUAUGGUGAGGAGAGGAAGCCCAGUGGGAGAGUAUGGAGCGAGAUGGAACUGGGCUGGCGUUCUGCUGAUUUUUCUCAUAGAAGAAGAAAAGCUCGAUUUCAAUUAGUUAUCUUUUCCCAAAACUAGAAUCUGUUACAGAGUGCAAUAAGUUUUGUAAAUGUGACCCUUUGCCAAAGUUCCCUAACGGAAAUAUGCAAAUAAAUGCCAGAACGCGCAAAUAGGA